rnacentral:rRNA from 1 species
UACGGGGGGGGCAAGCGUUGCUCGGAAUUACUGGGCGUAAAGGGCUCGUAGGUGGCCAACUAAGUCAGACGUGAAAUCCCUCGGCUUAACCGGGGAACUGCGUCUGAUACUGGAUGGCUUGAGUUUGGGAGAGGGACGCGGAAUUCCAGGUGUAGCGGUGAAAUGCGUAGAUAUCUGGAGGAAUACCGGUGGCGAAGGCGGCAUCCUGGACCGGCAUUGACGCUGAUGAGCGAAAGCUAGGGGAGCAAACGGG